CUCACCUGUAAUCUCAGCAAUUUGGGAGGCCGAGAUGGGAGGACGGCUUGAGGCCAGGAGUUCGAGACCACCUUGGUCAACAUAGCAAGACCCUGUCUUUACAAAAAAUAAAAAAUAAAAAAAUCAGCCAGACAUGGCAGUGUGUGCCUGUAGUCCCAGUUACUCAGGAGGCUUAGGUGGGAGGAUCCCUUGAGCCCAGGAGGUGGAGGCUGCAAUGAGCUGAGUUUGCACCACUGCACUCCAGCCUGGGUGACAGAGAGAGACCCUGUCUCUAAAAUAAAAUAAAAUAAAAUAGGCUGGGUGUGGUGGCUCACGCUUGUAAUCCUAGCACUUUGGGAGGCCGGGGCCAGUGGAUCUCGAGGUCAAGAGAUUGAGACCAUCCUGGCCAACAUGGCGAAACCCCGUCUCUACUAAAAAUACAAAAAUUAGCUGGCGUGGUGCGCGCCUGUCGUCCCAGCUACUCUGGAGGCUGAGGCAGGAGAAUCACUUGAACCCAGUAGGCGGAAGUUGCAGUGAGGUGAGAUCGCGCCGCUGCACUCCAGCCUGGUGACAGAGCGAGACUGUCUCAAAACAAAAAAAAAUAAAAUAAAAUAAUGAGACUUAUCUCCUGCUUCUAAGAGCAGGGCUGCAGGCAGAAAAGGGGUGGUGGAGGUGCAAGUAGUGAUGGAGAGGGCUGAGAAAAACCUGCAGUCAUAAGUUACAAGGCAAAGAGAAGCCCUUUUAUAGUUCAUAAGCAUAGUGAUUGGGUUUUUGCACAGAUGAGACACCUUGUUAAGAUGUUGGCACUUUACUCAUAAGACAUAAACACACACACACACAAACACACACACCAAAAAACAAUGCAAAGAGAAAGAUUUCUGAUGGUGACUUGAAUCUAGUAGUGAUAAUAUUCAUUGCACAACUUUACCAUCUAUUAUAGCAAAAACAUUCCCCCGAAUUCUUACUGUGUGCCAAGCACUGUGCUCAGUAAUCUCAAUCCUUACUCAGCCCUUUGUGGUGAGUUCUAUAUUCACCCUUAUUUUACAGAUGAAGGAAUGGAGAUUUGAGGAGGCUAAGUAAUGAGCGCAGGGUGAUUAGCUAAUAUCAAACUCAGGCACUGAGGCUAUGCUGUCUAGAGAAAGAAAUACAUGCUAGGGACCUUCUGGACAGGGUUCUGCCUAUACUUGUGACAGCACUGGAAAUUAAGUCCUCUCCCCUGUGUUUCUCUGAAAAGAAAUAAUUUAUUUCCUGUGUUCUGGAAGGACAUUGGGUGAAGUUGGUUGUGUUUUAAAGCAUGUCCAUUGACGCCUCUUUUGGUUCCUGAGCCAUUAGCAGGAGGCUCCUGCUAUAUUUCACAUGACCCUGUCUUAGUGACCUCUCUGUUGGCCUUAGGGAAAACAUGGG
rnacentral:lncRNA from 10 species